GCUCGCAGAGUUUUGCAUUUUUAUUUAUUUUACACAUUUGAUCGUAGCCGAAAGACUGAAGUAGAUGUUAAGAUUUACAGUUUAGCCUGGUCAUCUGCUUCCGAUUCUCCUCCUUGUGGAGGCGUCUCCCCCCGGGAGAUCCCGGACAAAUGCAACGCUGGACUCUGCAGCCCUUCCUUUCCUUUCCGACACCAUUGCCCAGCCUGAGUAUUUGCACUUUUUCCCUGUAGUUUACCAAAGGUCUGGGUGCAGAGAGGGAACCGGCCCACCGUCCCGAAACAGAUGAAUAAAUAACUCUGGCAGCGCGCCUCAUAUGCUAGAGCUUGUGCAAGCAAGUGGAUCAGAAAUAGCUCAGGGUAGAAGAUUUCCAGCGGCGCCUUAGGAAGAAUGAGGCACAAGCCAAUUUUGUAGCCUGAAACGGACUUUCCCCGGCUGGAGAAAGCUCCGAAAAGUAAAAAGAUGCUGAUCAGAAGAAUCAGCUGUGAUUCACUGGAGUCAAGUCUCCUGGGAAGUGUUUCCUCAGAAGCUGUGCUCCAGAGAUGGCCAAGGUUGAACCUCAUGCCGGCAGCUGAACUUGGUUGUGUAAGAGUGACCCAGCUGAUAACUGCUUUAAAGGUAUAAAGGGAUCAUGGACAGCAGCUGAGGCUUGGCCCUGUGUGGCAGGCCUGGAGUCCCUGAAAAGAGCCCAGGAGAGGUGAGAGGUGAAAGUGCAGCCGGGCUGCUGUAGAAGAGCCCAGCGGUUUGGAGAUGCCACUACCAGAGGACAACCACCCAGAACAGCAGCAGGUGUGGAGUGGAGCCAGCCUGAGCCUAGAAGACAAGCUCUGUGUGCUACAGAGGACAGAGCCAGAGAAGAGACCAGGCCCUUUGGAGGAGCGCAGAUCAGGAGAGACUCCCAGACACUGGAGGCCGAGUCAUUUACUGUUGGAACUUGGCUUUGCUUUGUUCUGACUGCGACUGUGGGCUGGUUCUUCUCUCUUGAGCUCUCCAAAAGGAAGCUGCAGCAGGAUUGACUUGAACUUGAGGCUAACCCAGGCUACAGUGUGUGGCUCUGUAUUAAAGACCAAAACAAGACAGACCAGCUGUAAUACCACAAACCCGUGGUCAUCCUAGCUACACUUGGAAUUAAAGGCAGCCAGCCUGUGCUACACAUGGAGGUAAAAAAGGCCAGCCUGUGCUACAUGAAACCCUGUCACAUGAGUGAGAAGAUUC